AGAGUUUGAUCAUGGCUCAGGAUGAACGCUAGCGGCAGGCUUAAUACAUGCAAGUCGUGGGGCAGCAGGUCCGUAGCAAUACGGAUGCUGGCGACCGGCAAACGGGUGCGUAACACGUACGCAACCUUCCUUCAGGCGGGGAAUAGCCCGGGGAAACCCGGAUUAAUACCCCAUAAAAUUUUGGAAUGGCAUCAUUCUAUUAUUAAAGCUUCGGCACCUGAUGAUGGGCGUGCGGCUGAUUAGGUAGUUGGCGGGGUAAUGGCCCACCAAGCCAGCGAUCAGUAGCUGAUGUGAGAGCAUGAUCAGCCACACGGGCACUGAGACACGGGCCCGACUCCUACGGGAGGCAGCAGUAAGGAAUAUUGGUCAAUGGACGAAAGUCUGAACCAGCCAUGCCGCGUGGAGGAUGAAGGUCCUCUGGAUUGUAAACUUCUUUUAUUUGGGACGAAAAAGGGGAAUUCUUUCCCACUUGACGGUACCAGAUGAAUAAGCACCGGCUAACUCCGUGCCAGCAGCCGCGGUAAUACGGAGGGUGCAAGCGUUAUCCGGAUUCACUGGGUUUAAAGGGUGCGUAGGCGGAUAGGGAAGUCCGUGGUGAAAUCCUGCAGCUUAACUGCAGAACUGCCGUGGAUACUAUCUAUCUUGAAUGUCGUGGAGGUUAGCAGAAUAUGUCAUGUAGCGGUGAAAUGCUUAGAUAUGACAUAGAAUACCCAUUGCGAAGGCAGCUAACUACGCGAUGAUUGACGCUGAUGCACGAAAGCGUGGGGAUCAAACAGGAUUAGAUACCCUAGUAGUCC
rnacentral:rRNA from 1 species